CUAUGAAGAAAAGAGGAAGACAAAAGAGCUCUAAGAUCUCUUCUCUCUCUCUCUCUCUCUCUCUGGGUGCGAUCCCAUCUCUCUCUCUCUCUCAAUCAUUGUGAAAUCCAUUGGUGAGUACAUAGAAAGAGGAAUUUAAGGCAAAUAACCUUGAAGAAUUGCACAAGAUAAUUCAUGCUGUUGUUUGUGCUGAUCUCACAGUGAAGAAAUCUGAUAAGGAACCACCCCAGGACACUAUAAAAGUUUAUGGUUCAACUUAAAGAAGCUCACAUAUGAAGAAAGGAAGAACCAGUUAAUUGAAGGAUUGACUAAAUUUGGGCAGUGGCAUAAAUUUUCAAAGGUAUAUAGCCUAAAUUUUUCUCCCUAAUUUUGUCUUUAUUUUUGAUGAAAUAUGGAAGAAUGUGAAUUUUUUAUGCUGAGGAAUGUGGAUUUUGUAUGCUGGAAGAAUUAUAUGUUAUGUGUUUUUUUGUAUGCUAGAAGUAUGGAGAUUGAAGAUUGAAGAUUGUACAUUAUCAGUGUUUGAUUUGUUUACCUAAAGAGCUUUUCUUUUAUGUUGUCUAACCUUUUUGGAUAAACUUUUCUUUGGGAACAUGGAUACAACCUUUUCUCUUUGGGGACAUGUUUACAACCUUUCUUUAUCAUAGUGUUGGGAAUGAGGAGUGUACUUGAUUAGGCUGGUAAAAUUUCUGCCUGAAAGUCUUUGCACACUUUUCAAUUUAUUAGAGUUGAUUUUCUCUAGAUUGCAUCAUUCAUUUCAUAAGCACCCUUAUUUGGUAGUCAGUGAAGCAUAUUAUUCAUUUAAAUUUGACAAAUAAUGCACAUGCCGUAUAGAGAAACCUGGCUUUCCUUGUGUCCAUGCAUUUGCAGCAUGUAAGCAUCGACAUAUUUCUCCAUAUAUCCUUUGCUCGGCACAUUACUCAGUUGACUCACUCCGUAACGCAUAUUCGGAAACCAUAUAUCCACUUGGAUAUAAAUAUCAGUGGCAUGCUCCAAAUGAUGUCAUAAACCAGCUUGUACUUCCACCUAAGAUUGGCAAACAGGCAGGAAGACCAAGAAAGAAGAGGAUUCAAUCUCAAGGAGAGGAGCGUCAUCAAUAUAGAUGUGGGAGGUGCAAACAGAUUGGUCACAGCAGCCGAUCAUGCUCGGCCGCCGUACCUCUUUAUAGCACUACCAACCAACAGCACCAUUCAACUGAAGGACCAUAAAUCGCUCUACGCUAUAUUAAGACAAUGGGGGCAUGUUAUAUGGUAUGCGUGUGUUAUGCAAUGUAGUAAGGAAUGCAAUUAGUAGUUCCACCACAUAACAUGUGUGUUGGCAUAAUAGAUGUUGGUUUUAUGUGUUGUUUUGUUGGAAAAGUUAUCUGUCGUAUUGUGUUGAUAAAAUAUCAAUGACCCUAACAGAAAAAACCCUAAAAGUUCAGAAAAAGUUCUCAAAUUGGCAAAAAUAUUUGAUUACCGUAGGUUUCAUCGGUAAUUACCGAAACCCUUGUGGUAAUCAUAUUUUACCAAUUUUUUUGGCUCCCAC